rnacentral:lncRNA from 1 species
AAUCAGCAAGAGGCUUUAUUGGGAACACGGGUACCCGGGCGACUCAGUCUAUCGGAGGACUGGCGCGCCGAGUGUGGGGUUUUUACCCUUUUUAUAGGGCUGGGGCUGGGGAGCAAAAAGCGUGGGUACAGAAGCGAGAAGCGAGCUGAGUGGUUAGUUUAAAUCAAGGCUUGGGGUAUUUCCUGGUCAUUUGGGGAACCUGAAACUGAGGUGGGACUUUUUCAGAAACUGUUGCUGGUUCCGCUUUAUCUGGGUACCAUCUGUUCUUGGCCCUGAGCCGGGGCCCAGGUGGGUACCAUCGGUUCUUGGCCCUGAGCCGGGGCCCAGGCGCUUGACCACCGAUAUACCCUUUUUGGCCCUUGUCCUAGUAUUAUUCAGCCUUGAUUUUUAACUGUUAAUCUUUAACUGAACUUCCUUGUAACUUUUGAGAACUCAGCUCUGGUACUUUUUCAUGCCUUGCAAAAUGGCGUUACUGCAGCUAGCUUGCUAAGCCUUAUGGUGGGGUCUUUCAUUCCCCCCUCUUUCUGGAAACUGAAUAAAAUCUUUUAUUCACGUGAUUCCACUGCUUCUGGAUCUAUUGAUUUGAGUUGGUGAUACUGUUGGGUCAGAACCAGGGCCUGCACCACCGAAAUUCUGUCUUUUACAAACUGGACCAAGCGGUUGAGAAUACAGGGUCCGAAGAGUAGGAUUAAUAAAAGUACUAUCAGAGGGCCCAUAAUGGUGGAUAUCAGGGUCGUGAACCAUGGGGACCUGUUAAACAGUCCCUCAAACCACCCUUGUCCUGAUUCGAACAAUUUUUGUCUCUGGUUUAGUCUCUCUCUUAGCUUAGCCAUGCUAUCCCUUACUACGCCAGUGUGGUCCGCGUAGAAACAGCAUUCUUCUUUUAGGAGGUCAAAAUAUAGUUUAGGGAAGGUGUCUGUCAUCGUCCCCAGGAGGGAGGUGGCGUUAGCUGUUUGUCCUGUCAUUAGGUUGGUAACUCUCCAAGUAACAUUGAAGACCUGGUGAGGGCUGUCACGUUGUCCCGAGGCUCCUGCCCCCACUAAGAUCCCCAUAACUAUCAGGGGGCCCCACGGGUUAAUCUUAUCUUUAAGGGAUUUUGAGAACGCUGGACCUUCCAUGCUGUUCCGGCCGGAGGAGUUGUCGCCGCCUUUACGUGAGCGGCGUGUAUCCACGCAGAGAUGCCGUCUACUUUGAGAGCGGUGGGGGUGGUCAGUAGGACGGUGUAGGGUCCUUUCCAGCGAGGUUCUAGGUUCUUAGUCUGGUGCCGGCGUACCCACACGGCGUCACCGACACGGAAGGGGUGUGGUAUCACUGGCUG